AGAGUUUGAUCCUGGCUCAGGACGAACGCUGGCGGCGUGCUUAACACAUGCAAGUCGAACGGAAAGGCCCUUCGGGGUACUCGAGUGGCGAACGGGUGAGUAACACGUGGGUGAUCUGCCCUGCACUUUGGGAUAAGCCUGGGAAACUGGGUCUAAUACCGAAUAUGACCAUGCACUUCCUGGUGUGUGGUGGAAAGCUUUUGCGGUGUGGGAUGGGCCCGCGGCCUAUCAGCUUGUUGGUGGGGUAAUGGCCUACCAAGGCGACGACGGGUAGCCGGCCUGAGAGGGUGACCGGCCACACUGGGACUGAGAUACGGCCCAGACUCCUACGGGAGGCAGCAGUGGGGAAUAUUGCACAAUGGGCGCAAGCCUGAUGCAGCGACGCCGCGCGAGGGAUGACGGCCUUCGGGUUGUAAACCUCUUUCAGCACAGACGAAGCGCAAGUGACGAUAUGUGCAGAAGAAGGACCGGCCAACUACGUGCCAGCAGCCGCGGUAAUACGUAGGGUCCGAGCGUUGUCCGGAAUUACUGGGCGUAAAGAGCUCGUAGGUGGUUUGUCGCGUUGUUCGUGAAAACUCACAGCUUAACUGUGGGCGUGCGGGCGAUACGGGCAGACUUGAGUACUGCAGGGGAGACUGGAAUUCCUGGUGUAGCGGUGGAAUGCGCAGAUAUCAGGAGGAACACCGGUGGCGAAGGCGGGUCUCUGGGCAGUAACUGACGCUGAGGAGCGAAAGCGUGGGGAGCGAACAGGAUUAGAUACCCUGGUAGUCC
rnacentral:rRNA from 1 species